CGUGUAGGCGGUGUGGAUAGUCGGAUGUGAAAUCUCCAGGCUCAACCUGGAAACUGCAUUCGAAACUGCCAUGCUUGAGUACCGGAGAGGGAAACGGAAUUCCUGGUGUAGGGGUGAAAUCUGUAGAUAUCAGGAAGAACACCGGUGGCGAAGGCGGUUUCCUGGCCGGAUACUGACGCUGAGGCGCGAAAGCUAGGGGAGCAAACAGGAUUAGAUACCCUGGUAGUCC
rnacentral:rRNA from 1 species